UACAGAGACUGCAAGCGUUAUUCGGAUUCACUGGGCGUAAAGGGUGCGCAGGCGGCCAUGUGUGUGAGGCGUGAAAGCCCGGGGCUUAACCCCGGAAUUGCACCUCAAACUAUAUGGCUAGAGCAUUGGAGAGGGUAGCAGAAUUCACGGUGUAGCAGUGAAAUGCGUAGAUAUCGUGAGGAAUACCAGAGGCGAAGGCGGCUACCUGGACAAUUGCUGACGCUCAGGCACGAAAGCGUGGGGAGCAAAAGGG
rnacentral:rRNA from 1 species